UACGAAGGGGGCUAGCGUUGCUCGGAAUUACUGGGCGUAAAGGGCGCGUAGGCGGUCAGUUUAGUCAGAGGUGAAAGCCCAGGGCUCAACCUUGGAAUUGCCUUUGAUACUGGCUGUCUUGAGUUCGGGAGAGGUGAGUGGAAUGCCGAGUGUAGAGGUGAAAUUCGUAGAUAUUCGGAGGAACACCAGUGGCGAAGGCGGCUCACUGGUCCAUUACUGACGCUGAGGUGCGAAAGCGUGGGGAGCAAACAGG
rnacentral:rRNA from 1 species